rnacentral:misc_RNA from 1 species
GAAAUGCGAUAAGUAAUGUGAAUUGCAGAAUUCAGUGAAUCAUCGAAUCUUUGAACGCACAUUGCGCCCGCCAGUAUUCUGGCGGGCAUGCCUGUUCGAGCGUCAUUUCAACCAUCAAGCCCCCGGCUUGUGUUGGGGACCUGCGGCUGCCCGCAGGCCCUGAAAAACAGUGGCGGGCUCGCUGUCACACCGAGCGUAGUAGCAUACAUUCUCGCUCAGGGCGUGCUGCGGGUUCCGGCCGUUAACCGACCUUCAUAACCCAAGGUUGACCUCGGAUCAGGUAGGAAGACCCGCUGAACUUAAGC